rnacentral:rRNA from 1 species
UAGGGAAUCUUCGGCAAUGGACGAAAGUCUGACCGAGCAACGCCGCGUGAGUGAAGAAGGUUUUCGGAUCGUAAAGCUCUGUUGUAAGAGAAGAACGAGUGUGAGAGUGGAAAGUUCACACUGUGACGGUAACUUACCAGAAAGGGACGGCUAACUACGUGCCAGCAGCCGCGGUAAUACGUAGGUCCCGAGCGUUAUCCGGAUUUAUUGGGCGUAAAGCGAGCGCAGGCGGUUAGAUAAGUCUGAAGUUAAAGGCCGUGGCUUAACCAUAGUACGCUUUGGAAACUGUUUAACUUGAGUGCAGAAGGGGAGAGUGGAAUUCCAUGUGUAGUGGUGAAAUGCGUAGAUAUAUGGAGGAACACCGGUGGCGAAAGCGGCUCUCUGGUCUGUAACUGACGCUGAGGCUCGAAAGCGUGGGGAGCAAACAGGAUUAGAUACCCUGGUAGUCCACGCCGUAAACGAUGAGUGCUAGGUGUUGGGUCCUUUCCGGGACUCAGUGCCGCAGCUAACGCAUUAAGCACUCCGCCUGGGGAGUACGACCGCAAGGUUG